rnacentral:lncRNA from 1 species
UUUAUCCGAUAAGGUUAUGUUGAUUGAUGGAUGGAUUAUUUGCUUUCCAGGCAAUUUGUAAAAAGACACUCCAAACUUGCUAGAUUAGCGCUGACAAUGAUUGUUGAUAUUUUCUAGUUGCAUCAUUGCUACAGUAUCAUGAUGAAAUGCGGAACAUGUCAAGGCAAAAAGAGGUUCAGCACUUCCUUUUGUAUUCAUUGAGGUAAUAUGUUAUCAUGACACCUGAACUCGAUGGCAUGGCAUCAAAGUGAAUCAAGGAAUCUACCUUACGUUAUGUAGUUACAUGUUCAUUUGUUGCCCUGAAAACAGACUGCUUUGUAUCCCAAUGUGGCUUGUCAUUAUUGUUAUAAUGUCUAUUUCUGAAUGCUGUUGCUGAAAAGGAGAUGCAUAUACAUUCUUUGAAUUCCGAACAUGUUUACACUGCAUUGGAUUGAAAAUCAUAUUGUGUUCCUGUGGAAUCUGGGGAUGGUCUUUAUCCAUCAGAUUAAUGUAGGGGUCCCACCAUUGAAAUUAUACUUCUACAUAUUUCACCCAUUUUUAAGCUUCCAAGUGAUGUCUGAUAGAUGAUGACUAAAGUUUUGUCUUGGCUGUGGAAAUAUUGUAGCUUGUCUAUUUGUUGAACAGCAACGUAUGCGCUUUUUAUUUGUUACCCCAUGAUCCCCGGCUUUCCUUUGAAACUAGCUCCACACUCUUUUGGAGCGCGGAACUAGCCAGCCGAUAACAGGACAGUGUUCAUGGCUAUUCUUUUUCUUUUUUUAUCUAACUAUUCAUGGCUUUUUCGUCCAACUAGCCAGCCGAUAAUGGGACACUACCCAAUAUUUGCUUGGACAGGUUUUACGGAGAAGGAACAAUUGAUAUUUGGUGUUAGGUGUAACUUCACUUUAUGACGGCUUUAGGGCCUGCUCACCAUCAGCAUUCAGCAACAAGAAGCAGCUUUGUCAUUGUCUGUAAUAAAUCAUGGUCAGUUCUCCUUUACCAUGAUAGAAAAUCAUGGCUUACAGAUCAUGAGAAUCACCAUUAUUGCGCUAUUUCUGAAAAGAUCAUUACCCCAUGUUUGUAUGUGAUCGUUAAUUGUGGGGGACCAUAGCCUUUAUUCUGAACUAUGAAUUCAAUAAUUUUGCCUCAUAUCUGGUUUAAUAAUCAAGAAAGAUAUUGCACGGCACUGAGUUCCAUUUUCCUGAGAAUUUCAAUAUUAUUCUUUUCAUUCCAGUAUUUCAUUUAAAAGAAGGUAAAUUCCCAUCCUAAUUUCAAUUUUUAUGCAAUUUCUUGUUUGGUUUAGUUGACAAAUUAAGAUUAUUCGAUUAUCUCAGUUUCAGAAAACUUAUUCCAUUUCAUUUUGCAAAUGAAUGAACCAAGUAUAUAGAUCUUACUGCACAAAAAUGAAUAUGGCUGGCUACUGCAUUUGCAGUCUUCCAACCUCACCUGCAUGAAACUUAGAUAUGCAGGAUGGCUAAGUAUGCAUGCAUGUGCCAGCCACCAUGUUGUGAGAAACUGUUUGAGGACAUAGAAAAGCAAAAUGAAAAUGACAUGAAAAUAUAAGUGUAUGAGCUGUAGAUAAUCUCUAGGCAUAUCUAUCUAGGUCCACUAUUCAGUGUAGAUGCAGACUUUGCGGGGCCCAAAGCCUGCAUAUUGGACCGACCCUAGAAGCUAAAGAGUUUCAGAAAUAUUAGACCAGUGAGACUGGUUAGGACAAAGAUGUGCUGAUGAGAAAUUAAGAAAGGCUGGUUAAUAAUUUAUUUAGCUGAUGAUGAGCAAGUGCAAGGGCAAGAAAAAUUGCAGAGAGUUAUGCAAUCAUGUGAGGAUAACUGGGUCUUCUGUAGUUUGUACAAAGACACAUCACAUUUGCAUGUAUGAUUUAUUUUGGGAGUUUGUGGCAUGGCAUUGGUCCAUUGUUAAUAUCUGCAACUGAUUAUUUUUUUAACUUUUUACCAAAAAAGGUUUAGGACCACCGGAAGCCAAAUUCAAUUUUUCUGGUACUGAUGAGGACUGAGGGAUUAGGACAGUUCUCUUCUCUUUCUCUGGGUUGGGACAAAUUCACCCUCUUGAUGAGUAUCGUGAUCAUCACUGGCAAAAACACAGACCCUGGGCAGAGAGAGGUUCAGAAGAGAAAGACUGACACAAAAUGGAAGAUAGAUCAUAUUGCAUCAUUUGAAGGACUUUGUCCCCUCUUUCCUCUUUGAUAUGAGAAAAAGGAAAAUGAAAAAAGAAAAUAAUAAUAAUAAACAAAAUAGAAAGAGCUCUUUCUAUUUCUCCCUUUUUACUUGUGUUUUUGAGGAUUUUUGCUUAUAGGCGUUGCAUUGUUUAAACUUACAUUCUCCUGCAUGGCCACGUUUCUGUAUGCUUCAAUCUAACUUCAUGAAGAUUCUUUUACCAAUUCAC